rnacentral:rRNA from 1 species
GUAGGGGGCAAGCGUUGUCCGGAAUUAUUGGGCGUAAAGCGCGCGCAGGCGGUCUCUUAAGUCUGAUGUGAAAGCCCACGGCUCAACCGUGGAGGGUCAUUGGAAACUGGGAGACUUGAGUGUAGGAGAGGAAAGUGGAAUUCCACGUGUAGCGGUGAAAUGCGUAGAUAUGUGGAGGAACACCAGUGGCGAAGGCGACUUUCUGGCCUACAACUGACGCUGAGGCGCGAAAGCGUGGGGAGCAAACAGGAUUAGAUACCCUGGUAGUCCACGCUGUAAACGAUGAGUGCUAGGUGUUAGGGGUUUCGAUGCCCUUAGUGCCGAAGUUAACACAUUAAGCACUCCGCCCUGGGAGUACGGCCGCAAGGCUG